GACGAACGCUGGCGGCGUGCUUAACACAUGCAAGUCGAACGGAAAGGCCCCUUUGGGGGUACUCGAGUGGCGAACGGGUGAGUAACACGUGAGUAACCUGCCCUUGACUUCGGGAUAACUUCAGGAAACUGGGGCUAAUACCGGAUAGGAAUCCUUGCUGCAUGGUGGGGGUUGGAAAGCUUCGGCGGUUUUGGAUGGACUCGCGGCUUAUCAGCUUGUUGGUGGGGUAGUGGCUUACCAAGGCUUUGACGGGUAGCCGGCCUGAGAGGGCGACCGGCCACAUUGGGACUGAGAUACGGCCCAGACUCCUACGGGAGGCAGCAAUGGGGAAUAUUGCACAAUGGGCGGAAGCCUGAUGCAGCAACGCCGCGUGCGGGAUGACGGCCUUCGGGUUGUAAACCGCUUUCAGCAGGGGCGAAGCUUGUGGUGACGGUACCUGCAGAAGAAGCACCGGCUAACUACGUGC
rnacentral:rRNA from 1 species